rnacentral:tRNA from 1 species
CCGGACCAGUGGGCCUCGAUCCCACAUAAAACUAGUUAACAGCUAGCCACCCAAACCAGCGGGCAUUAAUCCA